AGAUCUUCAUUGCUUUUUAAUGCC
rnacentral:siRNA from 1 species